rnacentral:lncRNA from 1 species
UACUGGUGUAAAGGAGUACUUGCACAUGUAACUAUCCCAAAGGUAAUGUCAUUAUCAGGUUAUAUAUGCUACAGUUGCUAUUGCUUCCCAGGCUUGCUGCAUUCUCCUUUUAUAAAAAUAGUCUUGUGUUCCUGCUUUCACUGAGUUAUUUACAGCAGGAUUUUUAGACACUCCAGAAAUGCAUCACCUGCAAGGCUAAAUCCAGGUCUGAGGGCUAAGGGAUGGAGAAAGAAGCCUUCCAGAGCAAAGCUAUCCUCUUACCUUGUGAUCCCAAACUCUUCUCCCCUCCCCACAGCUGAAUUUAAUUCAGACAUUUAAAACUGAUAUUGUGAGGUCUUUCCCAGCUUUAGCAGCCUUUGGUCUUAGCAGAUGAACAGAAUCAUGUUCCUGCCAUCUCUCUGGUACAGCAUUUCCAGUCUUGGAUGCAUUACCAUCAAGUAAAAAAAAAAAAAAAAAAAAAAAAAAACCUGCAUGCUUUCUUCUGUAAUGCAUUCACACAGGUAAUAAUUCUUUCUCCUGUUAUUUAUCAGAUUUUUAUAUAAUACAUUUAGGGUUACAGCUAUGGGAAAUGCUUAAAAAUAUUUACAUAAACCAGGAAGUAUUAGGGAAAAAGGGGGUGGAACGUCAGUUUUUCUCCUUUUGUCCAUGUAUAGCAGUCUCCUGAGUUUCUGCAAACUGCUAUAUUUUAUUUUCUGAAUGACAAAAUUCACAACAAAUAUCAGAAAAGAGCUAUGGUAUCUGGAUAAAUAAAACAAAACAGAGAGCGAGAUACCCUCUGAACAGAUUUUAAACUUUUUCUGCUAUACUUUUUAAUGUCCCAUGUAGUUUGACUUUCCCGAUCAAUAAAAAUCGUUCUGCUCUCCGUUCUGUUUCUCCAAGAAAUAUCUCAUGUAAGUGUUCACCGUGAACUCAAGCAGACAAAAAGUGAAGACAUCUCAGGUCAGGUCCUUUGGGGCACAGUUUUGUGAUAUGAACAACGUGAAUCAAAGGCUCAUCACUGCUGAAGGGUGGAAAGCUUUUUUUUUUUCUUCCUCUGCUUGCCUUCUGCUUUGUUCCUUCCCUCUCCUCUGCCUCCCCUCCUCAAUGGCGCAGCCCUGCUCCCUGCCUUGCUGCAGCUCUGGGGCUCAUCGCAGUGUCAGGUUUUGGUGGCUUGUUUCCAUGUCUAUAAACUGGGAGAUAAGCUACUAUCACGAGAAUGAUUUUAUUCUGCGUUGGACAAUACUGUAUCACUUACUUUAUCUGUCACACCGUACUCAGUGCUGCACGUUAGGAACCUGCACCAGCAGCACUCCUCUGAGACAUCUCCAUCGAGCUCCAAAGCUCAGCAGAAUGAAUCUCAGCACGUACCUGAGAAAAAGCUCAGUAUUUCAGAAGAACCACAACCAUCACAAGUGGGUCCUUGCUUCCAUUCUGUUCAGUUGUCCUCAUUUAUAA